GUGCUGGAUUUAUCAUAAAAUCCACAUACAAAACUGUGGUUCCAAAAUCCCAAGAACUUUUCCCUGCUCUUUACCCUUCGUUUCAUGUCAUACUCCUCCUCUCGCACUGUGCUUUAGCCAUACAGGGCCUCUGCUGAUUCCAUAGUACCUGCCCACCCAGUUCAUCAUUAUCCUUGGUCAUUCAGGUCUCUGUUAGAUAGCACCUUCUCAGAGAGGUCGCUGCCUUCCCAAUUCAAUGUAGCUGCUCAGUUUCUCUCUAUGAUAUUACAGUUUAAUUUUCUCUACCGUAAUUUUUAUUUCUUGUAUUUUUCUUGUUUUUCUUUUCUUUUUUUUUUUUUUACUGUCCCAUCUCAUUUAAAUUUAAACCCUAUAAAAGUAAAGAUUUUGUGCAGCCCAUCUCCUCAGCAUAUAUGUAAAAUGAAUUCUGGCACAUAUGGUGAAUGAGUGGAUGAAUGAAUGCAUGUAAACACGGCUACUCUGUAAAAGGCAUUGUGCAUGAUUAGUGUUAACAGGGUGGUUCCUGUCACAUAUGGAGCUUCCAGUCUAUUUGGACACCAAACAAUAGAGGAUUGCAUGAGUAAGCAGUGAGCUAUGUGGUGUUGACCAUAAGUGAUACAGGAGUUCAGAGAAGAGUGUGGGAAAUGCAAGAGACCUAAGUUUGAGGCCUCUGUUCCAGUAUUUGUGUACUGCUCCAGUAUGCAAAUCAUUUAACUGAAUGUAUAGAAUUUCCAUUCUCAUCAGUGUGGUUGCAGGCAGGAGCUGAAUGAUGCUAAAACUGUCCUGUGGUAGUUUAUGCCCCAACAACCUGUCCGGACAACAUUUUUCCAGUGACAUUCAAGUAUACUUUCAACAGAAAUAUUUCGAAACCUUGAUGUCCUCUGCUCCAGCUGAUGGAUGGAAAAUGAGAUCAUGCAACCUAGAAGUUAACACAUGUCACUUCAGCUCAGAUUCCGUUGGGAAGAGUCUGAUCAGGGUUUUCAAGACUACAUGGCAGAAAAUUACUUUGUGCUUCAGAGAUCAUCUAAAUACAUCAUAUUAUGUAUUAUUACAUUUCCUAAGUAGAAUAAUGUGAAGUGAAUCUUCUCAGAAGAAUCCCUG
rnacentral:lncRNA from 1 species